CCAGACUCCUACGGGAGGCAGCAGUGGGGAAUAUUGGGCAAUGGGCGCAAGCCUGACCCAGCAACGCCGCGUGAAGGAAGAAGGCUUUCGGGUUGUAAACUUCUUUUGACAGGGAAGAGCAGAAGACGGUACCUGUCGAAUAAGCCACGGCUAACUACGUGCCAGCAGCCGCGGUAAUACGUAGGUGGCAAGCGUUGUCCGGAUUUAUUGGGCGUAAAGGGCGUGUAGGCGGGAAUGCAAGUCAGAUGUGAAAACUAUGGGCUCAACCCAUAGCCUGCAUUUGAAACUGUAUUUCUUGAGUGCUGGAGAGGCAAUCGGAAUUCCGUGUGUAGCGGUGAAAUGCGUAGAUAUGCGGAGGAACACCAGUGACGAAGGCGGAUUGCUGGACGACAACUGACGGUGAGGCGCGAAAGCGUGGGGAGCAAACAGGAUUAGAUACCCUUGUAUUA
rnacentral:rRNA from 1 species